GACGAACCACACGAACGUUAUUCGGAAUUACUGGGCUUAAAGGGUGCGUAGGCGGCGCGGUAAGUAGGGUGUGAAAUCCCUCGGCUCAACCGAGGAACUGCGCUCUAAACUACCGUGCUCGAGGGAGAUAAAGGUGAGCGGAACUUAGGGUGGAGCGGUGAAAUGCGUUGAUAUCCUAAGGAACACCGGUGGCGAAAGCGGCUCACUGGAUCUCUUCUGACGCUGAGGCACGAAAGCUAGGGUAGCGAACGGG
rnacentral:rRNA from 1 species